AUAAAGGCGUCGACGAAGAGAAGUAACGACGAAUCCUGUAUGACAGAGAGCUGAUGGUUGGUGCGAAUCAGUAUAUGGGACGUCGCGAAUGGACUUCUGAGCUCUAAACCGAACUUUGAGUAGGCUUUAGCGGGUUACCCACCGUUAUCACGGGGAAGCGGAUGAUUGUCCGUGAAGUGGGUUCUUUGGAACCAACGAAGGUGGCACCACGGGGUUACUCGUCCUUCUU
rfam:Exiguobacterium sp. AT1b, complete genome.